rnacentral:lncRNA from 1 species
GAACUGAGCAAGAUGGCGGCGCGCAUGGGAGGACGCGUCUGACUUCGACAGUCCGCAGGACACACGGCGCGAAGUUGCUUCUGCUCCUGCUGCUUAUUAAAGCUUCCUGUCGCUUGAUGGUCAUCAACUAAAGGUUCCAAGUGCUUUUACAUCGACAAGCAACGUGUUGCCGGUUAACCGACGUGGAGCUUACAGUUUCAGUAAAGUCGCUACCUCUCGACACUGCAGUAGGGUGGUCACCGCUUCUCCACAUACACCACUGGUCGGAGGUUCACUACCAGUGAACAGGUAAGUAG